UCAAGCUACUAAGGGCACGAGGUGAAUGCCUUGGCUCCAGAAGUCGAUGAAGGACGUAGUAAGUUGCGAUAAGCCACGAGGAGCGACAAACACGCGCUGAUCCGUGGAUUUCCGAAUGGGGAAACCCGGCCAAUCAUGGUCGAUGUCAUGUGAAUUCAUAGCAUGGCAUCGGGACACCCGCUGAAGUGAAACAUCUCAGUAAGCGGAGGAAAAGAAAUCAAAGAGAUUCCGUAAGUAGUGGCGAACGAAAGCGGAACAGCCUAAACCGGGAGAGUUUACUCUCCCGGGGUUGUGGGAUACUUAAAUAUGGUAUCGUGAAGAGAAGCUAAUCAGUUUGGAAAACUGAACCAGAGAGGGUGAUAGUCCCGUGAGUGUAAUCGAAUCGUAACCUAGAGUUUCCCGAGUAAUGCGGGACACGUGAAACCCUGCAUGAAUCCAGGCGGACCACCGUCUAAGGCUAAAUACUAACUGGAGACCGAUAGUGAACAAGUACCGUGAGGGAAAGGUGAAAAGGACCCCUGCUAGGGGAGUUUAAAGUUCCUGAAACCCCGUGCCUACAAAGUGUGGGAGCAUCUUCGGAUGUGACCGCGUGCCUUUUGCAUAAUGAGUCUGCGAGUUAUUGUCAGUGGCAAGCCUAAGCACUAUUGGUGCGCAGGCGAAGCGAAAGCGAGUGUGAAUAGCGCGUCCAGUCGCUGGGGAUAGACCCGAAGCGGAGGUGAUCUAACCAUGGGCAGGUUGAAGCUGAGGUAAAACUCAGUGAAGGACCGAACCGUUGUACGUUGAAAAGUGCUCGGAUGACCUGUGGUUAGGAGUGAAAGGCUAAUCAAACCCCGUGAUAGCUGGUUCUCUUCGAAAUAGCUUUAGGGCUAGCGUCGGGUAAGUACUCCGAGGAGGUAGAGCACUGAUUGGCUUAGGGUCCCUAACAGGAUACCAAAACCAGUUAAACUCCGAAUGCCUCGGAUCCCAUUAUCCCGGCAGUCAGUCGGCGAGUGAUAAGAUCCGUCGUCGAAAGGGAAACAACCCAGACCAUCGGCUAAGGUGCCCAAAUACCGCUCAGUGGUAAGGAUGUGACGUUACACAGACAGUGAGGAUGUUGGCUUAGAAGCAGCCACCAUUUAAACAGUGCGUAACAGCUGACUCAUCGAGUGACGUUGCGCCGAAAAUGAUUGGCGAUCAAGCGGUAUACCGAAGCCAUGGAUGUCUUAGGACAUGGUAGAAGAGCGUAGUCAGGCCACAGAAGCUUUCCUGUAAAGGGGGGUGGAGGGCUGACUAGUGAGAAUGCAGACAUGAGUAGCGAUAAACAAAGUGAGAAUCUUUGUCUCCGUAAACCCAAGGUUUCCUGGGCCAGGCUCGUCCCCCCAGGGUUAGUCGGGACCUAAGGCGAGGCCGAAAGGCGUAGUCGAUGGAUAACAGGUUAAUAUUCCUGUACUAAAACGCAACAUGGGACGCAUGACGGAUGAUGGCAGACACCAUGAUAUGUUAGCUUAGCCUUCGGGCGAAGUGCGCCAUUUGAAGUUGUGCCGAGAAAACCGCGUUGGCCCGUACCUAUACCGACACAGGUAGGUGAGUCGAAUAGACUAAGGAGCGCGAGAGAAAUCUCUCCAAGGAACUCGGCAAAUUAGCCCCGUAACUUCGGGAGAAGGGGUGCCCACUUCGGUGGGCCACAGUAAAUUGGGACUGGCGACUGUUUACCAAAAACACAGCUCUCUGCUAAGUCGUGAAGACGACGUAUAGGGAGUGACACGUGACCAAUGCGGAAAGAUUAAGGUGACUUGUUAGCACUUGAUGCGAAGCUCGGAGCCCAAGUCCCCGUGAAUGUCGGCCGUAACUAUAACGGUCCUAAGGUAGCGAAAUUCCUUGUCGGGUAAGUUCCGACCUGCACGAAUCGUGCAACGACCGGUCCGCUGUCUCGGAGAGAAUCUCGGCGAAGUUGUAAUUGCGGUGAAGAUGCCGCAUACCCGCAGUAGGACGGAAAGACCCUGUGCACCUUUACUGUAAGCAAGUAUUGUGUUCUGAUUAGUGAUACGUAGAGUAGGUGGGAGACUUUGAAGUGAUGGC
rnacentral:rRNA from 1 species